rnacentral:piRNA from 1 species
CAGAAGUUACAGUUGGUCCUACGACUGAC